GGUUAAGCGACUAAGCGUACACGGUGGAUGCCCUGGCAGUCAGAGGCGAUGAAGGACGUGCUAAUCUGCGAUAAGCGUCGGUGAGGUGAUAUGAACCGUUAUAACCGGCGAUUUCCGAAUGGGGAAACCCAGUGUGUUUCGACACACUAUCAUUAACUGAAUCCAUAGGUUAAUGAGGCGAACCGGGGGAACUGAAACAUCUAAGUACCCCGAGGAAAAGAAAUCAACCGAGAUUCCCCCAGUAGCGGCGAGCGAACGGGGAGGAGCCCAGAGCCUGAAUCAGUGUGUGUGUUAGUGGAAGCGUCUGGAAAGGCGUGCGAUACAGGGUGACAGCCCCGUACACAAAAAUGCACAUAUUGUGAGCUCGAUGAGUAGGGCGGGACACGUGGUAUCCUGUCUGAAUAUGGGGGGACCAUCCUCCAAGGCUAAAUACUCCUGACUGACCGAUAGUGAACCAGUACCGUGAGGGAAAGGCGAAAAGAACCCCGGCGAGGGGAGUGAAAAAGAACCUGAAACCGUGUACGUACAAGCAGUGGGAGCCUCUUAAUGGGGUGACUGCGUACCUUUUGUAUAAUGGGUCAGCGACUUAUAUUCUGUAGCAAGGUUAACCGAAUAGGGGAGCCGAAGGGAAACCGAGUCUUAACUGGGCGUUAAGUUGCAGGGUAUAGACCCGAAACCCGGUGAUCUAGCCAUGGGCAGGUUGAAGGUUGGGUAACACUAACUGGAGGACCGAACCGACUAAUGUUGAAAAAUUAGCGGAUGACUUGUGGCUGGGGGUGAAAGGCCAAUCAAACCGGGAGAUAGCUGGUUCUCCCCGAAAGCUAUUUAGGUAGCGCCUCGUGAAUUCAUCUCCGGGGUAGAGCACUGUUUCGGCAAGGGGGUCAUCCCGACUUACCAACCCGAUGCAAACUGCGAAUACCGGAGAAUGUUAUCACGGGAGACACACGGCGGGUGCUAACGUCCGUCGUGAAGAGGGAAACAACCCAGACCGCCAGCUAAGGUCCCAAAGUCAUGGUUAAGUGGGAAACGAUGUGGGAAGGCCCAGACAGCCAGGAUGUUGGCUUAGAAGCAGCCAUCAUUUAAAGAAAGCGUAAUAGCUCACUGGUCGAGUCGGCCUGCGCGGAAGAUGUAACGGGGCUAAACCAUGCACCGAAGCUGCGGCAGCGACACUAUGUGUUGUUGGGUAGGGGAGCGUUCUGUAAGCCUGUGAAGGUGGCCUGUGAGGGUUGCUGGAGGUAUCAGAAGUGCGAAUGCUGACAUAAGUAACGAUAAAGCGGGUGAAAAGCCCGCUCGCCGGAAGACCAAGGGUUCCUGUCCAACGUUAAUCGGGGCAGGGUGAGUCGACCCCUAAGGCGAGGCCGAAAGGCGUAGUCGAUGGGAAACAGGUUAAUAUUCCUGUACUUGGUGUUACUGCGAAGGGGGACGGAGAAGGCUAUGUUGGCCGGGCGACGGUUGUCCCGGUUUAAGCGUGUAGGCUGGUUUUCCAGGCAAAUCCGGAAAACCAAGGCUGAGGCGUGAUGACGAGGCACUACGGUGCUGAAGCGACAAAUGCCCUGCUUCCAGGAAAAGCCUCUAAGCAUCAGGUAACAUCAAAUCGUACCCCAAACCGACACAGGUGGUCAGGUAGAGAAUACCAAGGCGCUUGAGAGAACUCGGGUGAAGGAACUAGGCAAAAUGGUGCCGUAACUUCGGGAGAAGGCACGCUGAUAUGUAGGUGAAGCGACUUGCUCGUGGAGCUGAAAUCAGUCGAAGAUACCAGCUGGCUGCAACUGUUUAUUAAAAACACAGCACUGUGCAAACACGAAAGUGGACGUAUACGGUGUGACGCCUGCCCGGUGCCGGAAGGUUAAUUGAUGGGGUUAGCGGCAACGCGAAGCUCUUGAUCGAAGCCCCGGUAAACGGCGGCCGUAACUAUAACGGUCCUAAGGUAGCGAAAUUCCUUGUCGGGUAAGUUCCGACCUGCACGAAUGGCGUAAUGAUGGCCAGGCUGUCUCCACCCGAGACUCAGUGAAAUUGAACUCGCUGUGAAGAUGCAGUGUACCCGCGGCAAGACGGAAAGACCCCGUGAACCUUUACUAUAGCUUGACACUGAACAUUGAGCCUUGAUGUGUAGGAUAGGUGGGAGGCUUUGAAGUGUGGACGCCAGUCUGCAUGGAGCCGACCUUGAAAUACCACCCUUUAAUGUUUGAUGUUCUAACGUUGGCCCGUAAUCCGGGUUGCGGACAGUGUCUGGUGGGUAGUUUGACUGGGGCGGUCUCCUCCUAAAGAGUAACGGAGGAGCACGAAGGUUGGCUAAUCCUGGUCGGACAUCAGGAGGUUAGUGCAAUGGCAUAAGCCAGCUUGACUGCGAGCGUGACGGCGCGAGCAGGUGCGAAAGCAGGUCAUAGUGAUCCGGUGGUUCUGAAUGGAAGGGCCAUCGCUCAACGGAUAAAAGGUACUCCGGGGAUAACAGGCUGAUACCGCCCAAGAGUUCAUAUCGACGGCGGUGUUUGGCACCUCGAUGUCGGCUCAUCACAUCCUGGGGCUGAAGUAGGUCCCAAGGGUAUGGCUGUUCGCCAUUUAAAGUGGUACGCGAGCUGGGUUUAGAACGUCGUGAGACAGUUCGGUCCCUAUCUGCCGUGGGCGCUGGAGAACUGAGGGGGCUGCUCCUAGUACGAGAGGACCGGAGUGGACGCAUCACUGGUGUUCGGGUUGUCAUGCCAAUGGCACUGCCCGGUAGCUAAAUGCGGAAGAGAUAAGUGCUGAAAGCAUCUAAGCACGAAACUUGCCCCGAGAUGAGUUCUCCCUGACUCCUUGAGAGUCCUGAAGGAACGUUGAAGACGACGACGUUGAUAGGCCGGGUGUGUAAGCGCAGCGAUGCGUUGAGCUAACCGGUACUAAUGAACCGUGAGGCUUAACCUU
rnacentral:rRNA from 1 species